GAUCUUGGGUCAUCUUUACUAUCAUUACCUUGAAUUGUUUUUCAAAUAGAUUGCCUAUCUCCAAUUCACUUAGUUGUUCUUCCGGGGUUUUAUCUUGUUCGCUUGUCUGGAAUAUGUUUCUCUGCCAUUUCAUUUUGUCUAACUUUCUGUGUUUUUGGUCUCCUUUCCUCAGGCUGCAGGAUUGUAGUUCCUCUUGCUUCUGGUGUCUGCCCCCCCCAGUGGGUGAGAUUGAUUUAGGGGCUUGUGCAGGCUUCCUGGUGGGAGGGACUGGCGCCUGCCCACUGGUGCAUGGAUGUGGGUCUUGUCCCUCUGGUGGGCAGAAAUGUGUCAAGGAGUGUGUUUAGAGGUGGCUGUGAGCUCAGUACAACUUCAGGCUGCCUGUCUGCUGAUGGGUGGGGCUAUGUCUCCCCACCCCACGACUGCUGGUUGUUUGGCCUGAGGCCUCCCAGCACUGGAGCCUGCAGGCUGUAGGGUGGGGCCCACUUCUUGGUGCCAAAAUGGUGACCUCUGGGAGAGCUCACACCAAUCAAUAUUCCCUGGGUCCUUCACCACAGGUGUCCUCGCACAGAGAGAGCCACAAUCAACCCCCACCUCUUCAGGAGACCCUCCAAUACCCGCAGGUAUGUCUAGUCCAGUCUCCCAUGAAGUCACUGCUUUGUGCUGGGUCCCCGUGCACGUGAAAACUUGUGUGUGCCCUCCAAGAGUGGAGUCUCUGUUUCCCUCAGUCCUGUGGAGCUUCUGCACUCAAGCCCCACUGGCCUUCAAAGCUAAAUGCUCUGGGGACUCCUCCUCCUGAUGCCGGACCCUCCGGCUGGGGAGCCUGACGUGGGGCUCAGAACUCUCCUGUGGGAGAACCUCUGUGACAUAAUUAUUUUCCAGUUUGUGGGUCACCUACCCAGUGGGUAUGGGGUUUGAUUAUAUGGGGUGUGUGGGUGCGGUGACCUGUGUGUGCUCCCAGUACGGUGGAGGCAGCAAUCAGCCCCUGUUCAUGGGUCUUCCAGUGGCAGCAGUGGCCCCCAUGCCCCCGGGAUAGUGGGGGCAGCAACUGGCACGUGCUCCCGUGUUUCUUAGUGGUGGUGGCAGCCCAUGCACUCCCGGGACAGCAGGGGCAGCGAUUGGCACCUGCUUCCAUGUCUCCCGUUCUUUGUUUUCUUGUGCAAAAUUGUCUUGGCUAUUCCUGGACUGUUACUGUUCUAGAUAAAAUUUUAAUAUCGUUGUCAGGUUUCACAAAAACUGUUGCUUUUGCCUUCAUUUCUUGAGUGAAGUUAGCUUAAUAUUACUAUUGUAGUAUCACUAGCUUCUCAUAAGCUUAAUUUCUGUCUUUUCCAGCAUAGCUGUUCUUCUCUUCUUCAAUAGAUUCACACUUGGAAGUGUUCCAACAGAAUGAGAACCUGACUAUCCUUAGUGGCUGAUAAAGGCUUAUUGCAGUUACAGGAAUGCUGAUUGUUCCAUAACAUAUGUAACUAAUCUGGGUACAUUUUGUAGACUGGUGAUAAAACACGUCACAUCUUAAAUCUCUGAACGAUGUGCUUACGUGUGUAUGUGUAUUUAUAUGUGUGUACACACCUUCAAAUAAAAAACAAACAAAACCAUCUUGGGCCUUUGAUUUGAAGCACUCUGCACUUCCCAGGUGAUUCUGCUUCUGUUUUACUGAGCCAGCUACUAAGGGAACCUCAAUGCGAUGAUGCAUAGACUUGCCUCAAAACGGAGGAUGAAGGGGCGCAGAAUAUGCCAUCCCAAAAUAUGCCUCUUUGACAUAAGGAUUAUUUUGAGCGGAUUAUUUUUAAGAAACAGACAGAAGAAAAGCUCUAAAAAUCUAGUAGAAGUUACUCAUUUGUAGGAGACAUUUACAUUUAUAAGAGAAAUUUUUAUUUGUAAGUGUAUCUUCUAAUCUGUGCCAGGAAGAGAAGGAUGACUCUAAAUCACAAGGAACUCUUAUCAGUGGAGAAGAUACCCAACUUAAAUCUGCAUAACAACCUUACUCUGUUUACUGUGUUUUUCCUAGUAACUUCCCAUAACUGGCCUUCUCCACCUCCCAACAUUUUUCUUGUAUCUUUAGCUGAAAAAGGAAUUUAAGAUGAUGGCUUGGGCUAUUUGAGGGAGUUAGUUUUCCAGGGUCUCCCCCAUGUAUACAGGAUGUAUACAUGUUAUUUGUUUACUAUUUGUUUUUCUCCUGUUAAUCUGUCCUUUAUUACAGGGGCGGGGUCUCAGCCAACAACCUAGAAUGGUAGAGGGAAAAUUUUUUUUCCUCACUGACAGUUUGGUGACCCGUGAUGGGAUCUGCUGAAACACUGUACUUCUUCUGGAGCCUGAAGAUAGGAACCCGGAAAACUGGCAGAAGCCAGCAAAGGACGUGCCUCUUAUUAAAUACCCAACUGCUCGCACCGUAUAAGGCUAGCUUCGGGAUCCCACCUGCAACACCAGCUCCUGAAAUGAGACACAACUGUUUAACUGAGCUGACCUGUCCUCGAGAUUAAGAGACAAAAGCACCAUUUUCACUGCUCUGAAGAAAGAAGAACACAGAAACCAGAUGUCCUACAUGUGCGUUUCACUCAGUAAUUCCCAGGGUGACAGUGGAAGGAGCUGCUUUUGAAGUGUGGCCUUGCUGGCUUCACACUUGGAUCCCCGGCCGCCUGGGUGACAGUCGCUUUCGAGCCCAGCCAGCCCCUCUGGCUGGAAUCCAGGGCCCAGUGGGCAGCCCCAUUCUCCACCAGGUCCUCACAGGGGGAGCCCGUACACCAUUAACCGCCCAGCACUGCAGGGCCCAGAGCCUUCUCACCGACUAGGGGAGACUGUUCCCUAGUCAGAAGCCAGAGUUCCUGUUCUUUCAUCAGAUACUUAAUCAUUUUCGUUAAAACCUUUAUCCAUUAACAUAUUCUAGAUAAUAAAAGCCUAAUUUAAUACUA